rnacentral:rRNA from 1 species
UUGAACGCUGGCGGCAUGCCUAACACAUGCAAGUCGAACGGCAGCACAGCAGUAGCAAUACUGUGGGUGGCGAGUGGCGGACGGGUGAGUAAUGCAUCGGGAUCUACCCAAACGUGGGGGAUAACGUAGGGAAAACUUACGCUGAUACCGCAUACGUCCUAAGGGAGAAAGCGGGGGACCGAAAGGCCCCGCGCGGUUGGACGAACCGAUGUGCGAUUAGCUAGUUGGUAGGGUAAUGGCCUACCAAGGCGACGAUCGCUAGCUGGUCUGAGAGGAUGAUCAGCCACACUGGGAACUGAGACACGGUCCAGACUCCUACGGGAGGCAGCAGUGGGGAAUAUUGGACAAUGGGCGCAAGCCUGAUCCAGCAAUGCCGCGUGUGUGAAGAAGGCCUUCGGGUUGUAAAGCACUUUUAUCAGGAGCGAAAUACUACUGGCUAAUAACCGGUGGGGCUGACGGUACCUGAGGAAUAAGCACCGGCUAACUUCGUGCCAGCAGCCCGCGGUAAUACGAAGGGUGCAAGCGUUAAUCGGAAUUACUGGGCGUAAAGCGUGCGUAGGCGGUGAGUUAAGUCUGUUGUGAAAUCCCCGGGCUCAACCUGGGAAUGGCAAUGGAUACUGGCUCGCUAGAGUGUGAUAGAGGAUGGUGGAAUUCCCGGUGUAGCGGUGAAAUGCGUAGAGAUCGGGAGGAACAUCAGUGGGCGAAGGCGGCCAUCUGGAUCAACACUGACGCUGAGGCACGAAAGCGUGGGGAGCAAACAGGAUUAGAUAUCCUGGUAGUCCACGCCCCUAAACGAUGCGAACUGGAUGUUGGUCUCAACUCGGGGAUCAGUGUCGAAGCUAACGCGUUAAGUUCGCCGCCUGGGGGAGUACGGUCGCAAGACUGAAACUCAAAGGAAUUGACGGGGGCCCGCACAAGCGGUGGAGUAUGUGGUUUAAUUCGAUGCAACGCGAAGAAACCUUACCUGGCCUUGACAUGUCUGGAAUCCUGCAGAGAUGCGGGAGUGCCUUCGGGAAUCAGAACACAGGUGCUGCAUGGCAGUCGUCAGCUCGUGUCGUGAGAUGUUGGGUUAAGUCUCGCAACGAGCGCAACCCUUGUCCUUAGUUUGCCAGCACGUAAUGGUGGGAACUCUAAGGAGACUGCCGGUGACAAACCGGAGGAAGGUGGGGAUGACGUCAAGUCAUCAUGGCCCUUACGGCCAGGGCUACACACGUACUACAAUGGUCGGUACAGAGGGUUGCAAUACCGCGAGGUGGAGCCAAUCCCAGGAAAGCCGAUCCCAGUCCGGAUUGGAGUCUGCAACUCGACUCCAUGAAGUCGGAAUCGCUAGUAAUCGCAGAUCAGCUAUGCUGCGGUGAAUACGUUUCCCGGGCCUUGUACACACCGCCCGUCACACCAUGGGAGUGAGUUGCUCCAGAAGCCGUUAGUCUAACCGCAAGGGGGACGACGACCACGGAGUGGUUUCAUGACUGGGGUG